rnacentral:rRNA from 1 species
CAGAGACUGCAAGCGUUAUUCGGAUUCACUGGGCGUAAAGGGUGCGCAGGCGGCCAUGUGUGUGAGGCGUGAAAGCCCGGGGCUUAACCCCGGAAUUGCACCUCAAACUACAUGGCUAGAGCAUUGGAGAGGGUAGCGGAAUUCACGGUGUAGCAGUGAAAUGCGUAGAUAUCGUGAGGAACACCAGAGGCGAAGGCGGCUACCUGGACAAUUGCUGACGCUCAGGCACGAAAGCGUGGGGAGCAAAAGGGAUUAGAUACUCCUGUAGUCCACGCCCUAAACGGUGCACACUAGGUCUUGGCGGAUUCGACCCCACCAGGGCCCAAGCUAACGCGUUAAGUGUGCCGCCUGAGGACUACGGCCGCAAGGCUA